rnacentral:rRNA from 1 species
CUGGGCGACUCUAAAGGGACUGCCGGUGUUAAACCGGAGGAAGGUGGGGAUGACGUCAAGUCCUCAUGGCCUUUAUGACCAGGGCUACACACGUACUACAAUGGCCGAUACAAAGGGCAGCGACACUGCGAGGUGAAGCCAAUCCCGUAAAAUCGGUCUCAGUCCGGAUUGGAGUCUGCAACUCGACUCCAUGAAGUUGGAAUCGCUAGUAAUCGUGGAUCAGCAUGCCACGGUGAAUACGUUCCCGGGCCUU